UACGGAGGGUGCGAGCGUUGUCCGGAAUCACUGGGCGUCAAGGGCGCGUAGGUGGCGCGGGCAGUCAACGGUGAAAGUUCGGGGCUCAACCCUGAAUCGGCCGUCGAUACUCCCGGGCUUGAGCACUGUAGAGGCAGAUGGAAUUCCGGGUGUAGCGGUGGAAUGCGUAGAGAUCCGGAAGAACACCGGUGGCGAAGGCGGUCUGCUGGGCAGUAGCUGACACUGAGGCGCGACAGCGUGGGGAGCAAACAGG
rnacentral:rRNA from 1 species